AGCGAACGCUGGCGGUAUGCUUAACACAUGCAAGUCGAGCGCGAAAGUGACUUCGGUCAUAAGUAGAGCGGCGGACGGGUGAGUAACACGUGGAUAAUCUGCCUUUAGGACUGGGAUAACCCUGGGAAACUAGGGCUAAUACCGGAUAAGACCACAGGUUCCAUGGAACCAGGGGUAAAAGGCGGCCUUCGGGCUGUCGCCGAAAGAUGAGUCCGCGUCCCAUCAGGUAGUUGGUGAGGAACGGCUCACCAAGCCGAAGACGGGUAGCCGACCUUAGCGGGUGAUCGGCCACACGGGGACUGAGACACGGCCCCGACUCCUACGGGAGGCAGCAGUGAGGAAUCUUGCGCAAUGGGC
rnacentral:rRNA from 1 species